AGUGAACGCUGGCGGCAGGCCUAAUACAUGCAAGUCGAACGGCAGCACAGUGGAGCUUGCUCCAUGGGUGGCGAGUGGCGGACGGGUGAGGAAUACAUGGGAAUCUGCCCAGUCGUGGGGGAUAACGUUGGGAAACUUACGCUAAUACCGCAUGCGCCCUUCGGGGGAAAGCCGGGGACCUUCGGGCCUGGCGCGAUUGGAUGAGCCCAUGUUCGAUUAGCUAGUUGGCGGGGUAAAGGCCCACCAAGGCGACGAUCGAUAGCUGGUCUGAGAGGAUGAUCAGCCACACUGGGACUGAGACACGGCCCAGACUCCUACGGGAGGCAGCAGUAGGGAAUAUUGGACAAUGGGCGCAAGCCUGAUCCAGCCAUGCCGCGUGAGUGAAGAAGGCCCUCGGGUUGUAAAGCUCUUUUGUCCGGGAAGAAAAGCAUCGGGCUAAUACCUCGGUGUUCUGACGGUACCGGAAGAAUAAGCACCGGCUAACUUCGUG
rnacentral:rRNA from 1 species